rnacentral:lncRNA from 1 species
UAUGCAACUCAGAUAAUGAAGCUGUAUUGAUUGCCAGGAGGGGGUGAGGGUGAAGCAGGGUCCAGGUGUGAAGUGCUUAGGCGGCAGGAGAGGGGAUCUUCUAGUGGGAUCCGUGUCCACACAGGGGGCCUCCUGGGCCUGAGCGGGGCUGGGCAGCCUCAGUUCUUGGUGCGAAGGACCUGCUCGUGGGUGGACACCACCUUGCCAUCGUGCACAUCCAUGAUCUUGGUGUGGAUUUGGUGGCUGGAGGAGAACUGGGAGGAGGAGAGGCUGUGAAGACAGAAAAGGGCAGGGUCAUUAGAUACAUGGUGGGGCCGUGAGAGUGCCAUGGUGGGGCGGAUUAAGGGGAGGGCCAAGACUCAUUGGGCAUCCUCGCCCUCCAGCAGGCGGCGGUAGGUGGCGAUCUCCUGUUCCAGCCGCAUCUUCAC